UACGAAGGGGGCUAGCGUUGCUCGGAAUCACUGGGCGUAAAGCGCACGUAGGCGGAUUUUUAAGUCAGGGGUGAAAUCCUGGAGCUCAACUCCAGAACUGCCUUUGAUACUGGGAAUCUCGAGUCCGGAAGAGGUGAGUGGAACUGCGAGUGUAGAGGUGAAAUUCGUAGAUAUUCGCAAGAACACCAGUGGCGAAGGCGGACUCACUGGUCCGGUACUGACGCUGAGGUGCGGAAAGCGUGGGGA
rnacentral:rRNA from 1 species